rnacentral:rRNA from 1 species
UCAGGACGAACGCUGGCGGCGUGCCUAAUACAUGCAAGUAGAACGCUGAAGAAAGGAGCUUGCUCUUUUGGAUGAGUUGCGAACGGGUGAGUAACGCGUGAAGAACCUGCCUUUCAGUGGGGGACAACAGUUGGAAACGACUGCUAAUACCGCAUGACACUUUUUGGGGGCAUCCCCGAGAAGUCAAAGCUUUAUGUGCUGAAAGAUGGCUUCGCGUCUGAUUAGCUAGAUGGCGGGUAACGGCCCACCAAGGCGAUGAUGCAUAGCUGGUCUGAGAGGAUGAACAGCCACAUUGGGACUGAGACACGGCCCAGACUCCUACGGGAGGCAGCAGUAGGGAAUUUUCGGCAAUGGGGGAAACCCUGACCGAGCAACGCCGCGUGAGUGAAGAAGGUCUUCGGAUUGUAAAGCUCUGUUGUAAGGGAAGAAAUGUACUGUGAGAAACAGUACUUGACGGUACCUUACCAGAAAGCUACGGCUAACUACGUG